AAAGCUCAAUUUAAAAUCUGGCAGUGUUCUACUGUCCGAGUUGUAAACUAGAGAAGUGCAGCCUGUGCUGGACCGUGUACAAGUCUUCUGGAAUGAAGCAUCACAGAGGGUGAUAAUCCCGUCUUUGACAUGGACUACCAGUGCAUUGUGGUUGUGCGCUCAACGAGUCGAGUUGUUUGGGAAUGCAGCUCUAAAUGGGUGGUAAAUUCCAUCUAAAGCUAAAUACUGGCGAGAGACCGAUAGCGAACAAGUACCGUGAGGGAAAGAUGAAAAGAACUUUGGAAAGAGAGUUAAACAGUAUGUGAAAUUGUUGAAAGGGAAACGUUUGAAGUCAGUCAUGUUGGCUGGGGAUCAGUUUGGCUAAUUUGCCUUGUGUAUUUCCUGGUCGACGGGUCAACAUCAGUUUUGACUGCCAGAGAAAGGCCGAGGGAAUGUGGCACCUCUGGGUGUGUUAUAGCUCUUGGUUGUAUGUGGUAGUUGGGACUGAGGAAAGCAGUGCGCCGCAAGGCAGGGUUUCGACCACGUUCGCACUUGGGAUGUUGGCAAUAAUGGCUUUAAGCGACCCGUCUUGAAACACGGACCAAGGAGUCUAACAUGCAUGCAAGUGUUUGGGUGGAAAACUCUGACGCGUAAUGAAAGUGAAAGUUGAGAACCCUGUUGUGGGGAGCAUCGACGCCCGGACCAGAACAAUUGGGACGGAUCUGCGGUAGAGCAUGUAUGUUGGGACCCGAAAGAUGGUGAACUAUGCCUGAAUAGGGUGAAGCCAGAGGAAACUCUGGUGGAGGCUCGUAGCGAUUCUGACGUGCAAAUCGAUCGUCG
rnacentral:rRNA from 1 species